GGGUGGUAAUGCCGGAUGCUCCAGUUGGAUGCAUGUCCUUCUGGGAAAGAUUCUAUCGGUAUGGGAUGGGGUCGCGUCCUAUCAGCUUGAUGGCGGGGUAACGGCCCACCAUGGCUUCGACGGGUAGCCGGCCUGAGAGGGCGACCGGCCACAUUGGGACUGAGAUACGGCCCAGACUCCUACGGGAGGCAGCAGUGGGGAAUAUUGCACAAUGGGCGCAAGCCUGAUGCAGCGACGCCGCGUGCGGGAUGACGGCCUUCGGGUUGUAAACCGCUUUUGACUGGGAGCAAGCCCUUCGGGGUGAGUGUACCUUUCGAAUAAGCACCGGCUAACUACGUGCCAGCAGCCGCGGUAAUACGUAGGGUGCAAGCGUUAUCCGGAAUUAUUGGGCGUAAAGGGCUCGUAGGCGGUUCGUCGCGUCCGGUGUGAAAGUCCAUCGCUUAACGGUGGAUCCGCGCCGGGUACGGGCGGGCUUGAGUGCGGUAGGGGAGA
rnacentral:rRNA from 1 species